rnacentral:rRNA from 1 species
UACGUAGGCGGAAAAUUAAGUCAGUAGUGAAAUCCUGCAGCUUAACUGUAGAACUGUUAUUGAUACUGGUUUUCUUGAAUAUAGUUGAGGUAGGCGGAAUGUGUAAUGUAGCGGUGAAAUGCUUAGAUAUUACACAGAACACUGAUUGCGAAGGCAGCUUACUAAGCUAUGAUUGACGCUGAGGUACGAAAGCGUGGGGAGCGAACAGGAUUAGAUACCCUGGUAGUCC